AGUACGUGAAACUGCUUAGAGGUUAAACCCGAUGAACCUGAAUAUCCAUUAUGGAAAAUUCAUCAGUAAUAAUAUAAUAUUUAAAUAUAUUAUAAAAAUAGUGUGCAAUUUUUCCAUAUAAGGACAUUGUAAUCUGUUAAUGUAAUAAAUAUUUAUCAAAAGAUUCAUUACUUAAAGUUUAUUCAAAUUAGUUAUUUUCGGAUUUCUAACAUAAAAUAAAUGUUUUGAAUUUGAUAAAUCAUUGACAGAUAUGAAUUGUGUAUAAUGUGCUUAAAUUUUUUUGAAAAAAAAAAUUUUACAAUAAUAUAUUAGAUCUUUAUUGAUUUAUAUAUUUAUAAUUGUAUGCAUAAUUAUGAUUGACAAUGCGAUAGAUUCAGGAUACCUUCGGGACCCGUCUUGAAACACGGACCAAGGAGUCUAACAUAUAUGCAAGUCAUUGGGUAUUUAUAAUAAAACCUAAUGGCGUAAUUAACUUAACUGUUAUAUAAUAUAAUAAUGGGAUUAGUUUAUAUUUUGUUAUGAAAUAUUAAAUUCAAUCCCGGGGCGUUCUUAUAUAGUUAUGCAUAAUAGUAUUUAUAUUAUUUAUGCCUCUAACUAGAAC
rnacentral:rRNA from 1 species